rfam:C.thermoaceticum (DSM 521) gene for transfer RNA-selenocysteine
GGGGGUGGAUCGGGCCUGGUGGCUUGCCUGGACUUCAAAUCCAGUUGGCGCGCGGGCUAACCCCGGGCGCGGUGGGUUCGAUUCCCACACACUCCCGCCA